UAUUACCACGCUCUAGGUAAACACUGUCUAUCACCACGCUCUAGGUAAACACUGUCUAUCAUCACGCUCUAGGUAAACACUGUCUAUCACCACGCUCUAGGUAAACACUGUCUAAACACCACGCUCUAGGUAAACACUGUCUAUCACCACGCUCUAGGUAAACACUGUCUAUCACCACGCUCUAGGUAAACACUGUCUAUCACCACGCUCUAGGUAAACACUGUCUAUCACCACGCUCUAGGUAAACACUGUCUAUCACCGCUCUAGGUAAACACUGUCUAUCACCACGCUCUAGGUAAACACUGUCUAUCACCACGCUCCAGGUAAACACUGUCUAUCACCACGCUCUAGGUAAACACUGUCUAUCACCACGCUCUAGGUAAACACUGUCUAUCACCACGCUCUAGGUAAACACUGUCUAUCACCACGCUCUAGGUAAACACUGUCUAUCACCACGCUCUAGGUAAACACUGUCUAUCACCACGCUCUAGGUAAACACUGUCUAUCACCACGCUCUAGGUAAACACUGUCUAUCACCACGCUCUAGGUAAACACUGUCUAUCACCACGCUCUAGACGCUCUAGGUAAACACUGUCUAUCACCACGCUCUAGGUAAACACUGUCUAUCACCACGCUCCAGACGCUCUAGGUAAACACUGUCUAUCACCACGCUCCAGGCGCUCUAGGUAAACACUGUCUAUCACCACGCUCUAGGUAAACACUGUCUAUCACCACGCUCUAGGUAAACACUGUCUAUCACCACGCUCUAGGUAAACACUGUCUAUCACCACGCUCUAGGUAAACACUGUCUAUCACCACGCUCUAGACGCUCUAGGUAAACACUGUCUAUCACCACGCUCUAGGUAAACACUGUCUAUCACCACGCUCUAGGUAAACACUGUCUAUCACCACGCUCUAGGUAAACACUGUCUAUCACCACGCUCUAGGUAAACACUGUCUAUCACCACGCUCCAGGUAAACACUGUCUAUCACCACGCUCUAGGUAAACACUGUCUAUCACCACGCUCUAGGUAAACACUGUCUAUCACCACGCUCUAGGUAAACACUGUCUAUCACCACGCUCUAGGUAAACACUGUCUAUCACCACGCUCUAGGUAAACACUGUCUAUCACCACGCUCUAGGUAAACACUGUCUAUCACCACACUCUAGGUAAACACUGUCUAU